rnacentral:rRNA from 1 species
AACGAACGCUGGCGGCAUGCCUAACACAAGCAAGUCGAACGAGAUCUUCGGGUCUAGUGGCGCACGGGUGCGUAACGCGUGGGAAUCUGCCCUUUGGUUCGGAAUAACAGUUGGAAACGACUGCUAAUACCGGAUGAUGACGAAAGUCCAAAGACUUAUCGCCAGAGGAUGAGCCCGCGUAGGAUUAGCUAGUUGGUGUGGUAAAGGCGCACCAAGGCGACGAUCCUUAGCUGGUCUGAGAGGAUGAUCAGCCACACUGGGACUGAGACACGGCCCAGACUCCUACGGGAGGCAGCAGUGGGGAAUAUUGGACAAUGGGCGAAAGCCUGAUCCAGCAAUGCCGCGUGAGUGAUGAAGGCCUUAGGGUUGUAAAGCUCUUUUACCCGGGAUGAUAAUGACAGUACCGGGAGAAUAAGCUCCGGCUAACUCCGUGCCAGCAGCCGCCGUAA